GGGGAAUAUUGGGCAAUGGGCGAAAGCCUGACCCAGCAACGCCGCGUGAAGGAAGAAGGCCCUCGGGUUGUAAACUUCUUUUAUUCGGGACGAAACAAAUGACGGUACCGAAUGAAUAAGCCACGGCUAACUACGUGCCAGCAGCCGCGGUAAUACGUAGGUGGCGAGCGUUAUCCGGAUUUACUGGGUGUAAAGGGCGUGUAGGCGGGACUGCAAGUCAGAUGUGAAAAUUAUGGGCUCAACCCAUAACCUGCAUUUGAAACUGUAGUUCUUGAGUGAUGGAGAGGCAGGCGGAAUUCCGUGUGUAGCGGUGAAAUGCGUAGAUAUUAGGAGGAACACCAGUGGCGAAGGCGACUCUCUGGACUGUAACUGACGCUGAGGCACGAAAGCGUGGGGAGCAAACA
rnacentral:rRNA from 1 species